GUGUCAGCCGCCGCGGUAAUACGAGAGGUCCAAACGUUAUUCGGAAUCACUGGGCUUACAGAGUUCGUAGGCGGUACGGAAAGUGGGGUGUGAAAGCCCUCGGCUCAACCGAGGAACUGCGCUCCAAACUACCGUGCUAGAGGAAGAUAGAGGUGAGCAGAACUGAUGGUGGAGCGGUGAAAUGCGUUGAUAUCAUCAGGAAUACCGGAGGCGAAGGCGGCUCACUGGGUCUUUUCUGACGCUGAGGAACGAAAGCUAGGGGAGCAAACGGGAUUAGAAACCCCCGUAGUCC
rnacentral:rRNA from 1 species